rnacentral:tRNA from 1 species
AAUGAAGUGCCUGAAAAUAAAGGGUUAUUUUGAUAGAAUAAAUUAUGUAAAUGCUUACCUUCAUUA